rnacentral:sRNA from 1 species
GAUGGUGUUAUUUCCUGCACAUUUUCCCCAGAUACCCCAUCUGGGAAGCCAGUGGAAAUUCAGAUCCUUGUUUCCGACCUAUCUUUAUACCCAAAGGAGCACGAUUACUUUGUGUAUACAACAACUGAAGAUGUUCCCCAGGCGGUUACUGACGCGCUGGAGGAAGCCCAAUCUUAUCUUCGCGGCCUGUGCAUCUCUGACAUGCUCUUACAAAUUACCAGCACCCUGGAGAAAGCUUUGUCUGCUGAUUCAGGCAGUGAUGUUGAUAUGCC